UCGCGUUUUCGUAAUAUGAUACACACGUGACCAGCCUUUAAUACCGCCAAAGGUAUCCAGUGUCCUAGCUGCAGCUGAGAGGGAAAUGUACACAGGGCUAGAAGAAUCAUGAUUACAAUCUGGAUUAAAAGCAGUGAGUACAUUGGACAGCAUUCAAAAGAAAAAAAAUGAAGAACACAGAAACAGACAAAAGAAAAAAAAAAGAAAAAGAAGAAACACCUGAAAUCAUGAUAUUGGAUGAAUUUUAAUUUAUCAAGAUGCUGAAGUUUAAAUGAAUCUGAAGGUUAUAGGAAGUAGACCUGAAAAAGUUCUGAGGUGUCUUACCAAAGAUAAACAAAAAAAGAAUUGAAGGAGGCAGAGUACAAAUUUCUUCCUGAAACUGGAUACUCAAAGGCAAAGGGAAGAAGUCGACUACUUUCAUAUCCAUACAUGAAAAUGUUGUUGAAAACGAAGUGGAUAAGUACACAAAAAGCCACCAUGAGGAGGGACUCAGAUCAGCUUUAUAUUUGAAAGGGACAAGAACAAUUAGAAAUGUCAGAUAUAGCGACUGAAACUUUAUAUUAUUUUACAUGUUACAUCUAUUAUACUGUAUCAAUCUUGGAAAAUAUUUGUGAUUUUAUAAAGAAUAAUUGCAAUGAAUAAAAUUUCAUACAUUUUUUUU